rnacentral:rRNA from 1 species
UACGAAGGGGGCUAGCGUUGCUCGGAAUCACUGGGCGUAAAGGGUGCGUAGGCGGGUCUUUAAGUCAGGGGUGAAAUCCUGGAGCUCAACUCCAGAACUGCCUUUGAUACUGAGGAUCUUGAGUUCGGGAGAGGUGAGUGGAACUGCGAGUGUAGAGGUGAAAUUCGUAGAUAUUCGCAAGAACACCAGAGGCGAAGGCGGCUCACUGGCUCGGUACUGACGCUGAGGUGCGAAAGCGUGGGGAGCAAACAGG